rfam:Picea glauca, whole genome shotgun sequence.
UUUCAAAUGAGGAAGGGCUUACGGUGGAUAUUGAGGCACCCAAAGACGAGGAAGGGCAUGGUAAGCGACGAAAUGCUUCGGGGAGUUGAAAAUGAGCAUAGAUCUGGAGAUUCCCAAAUAGGUUAACCUUUUUAACUGUUGUUGAAUCCAUGGGAAGGCAAGAGACAACCUGGUGAAUUGAAACAUCUUAGUAGACAGAGGAAUAGAAUGAAAAAUUCAUUCCCGUAGUAGUGGCAAGCGAAAUGGGAGUAGCCUAAACUGUGAAAAUGGGACUGUGGUAGAUCAAAAUAUAAGCUCUGUGCUGCUAGGCGAAGUGGUUGAGUCCUCCACCCUAGAUGGUUAGAGUCCAGUAUCCAAAAGCAUCAUUGGGUUACGCUCUAACCCGAGUAGCAUGGGGCACGUGGAAUCCCAUUUGAAUCAGCAAGGACCACCUUGAAAGGACAGAUACUCCUGGGUGACCGAUAGUGAAGUAGUACUGUGAGGGAAAGGUGAAAAGAACCCCCAUCAGGGAGUGAAAUAGAACAUGAAACCAUAAGCUCCCAAGAAGUGGGAGGAAAAUAAUAUCUCUGACUGUGUGCCUGUUGAAUAAUGAGCUGGCGAAUUAUAGGUAGUGGCUUGGUUAGGGGAACCCACUGGAGCUGUAGCAAGAGCGAGUCUUCAUGGGGCAAUUGUCACUGCUUAUGGACCAGAACCUGGGUGAUCUAUCCAUGACUAGGAUGAAGCUUGGGUGAAACGAAGUGGAGGUUCAACCUGAAUAAUGUUGAAAAAUCAGUGGAUGAGUCAUGGUUAGGGGUGAAAUUCCACUCGAACCCAGAGCUAGCUGGUUCUCCCUGAAAUGCCUUGAGGUGCAGCAGUUGACUGGACCAUCUAGGGGUAAAUCACUAUUUCGAUACAGGCCGCGAGAGCGAUACCAAAUCGAGUCAAACUUUGAAUACUAUAUUUCCCCAAUAAAGGGGGUAAAGGUCAGCCAGUGAGACAAUGGGGGAUAAGCUUCAUCGUAGAAAGGGAAACAACCCAGAUCAUCAGCUAAGGCCCCUAAAUGACCGCUCAGUGAUGAAGGAAGUAAGAUUGUAAAGACAGCCAGGAGGUUUUCCUAGAAGUAGCCAACCUUGAAAGAGUGCGUAAUAGCUCAUUGAUCGAGCAGUCUUGUGUCGAAGAUGAACAGGACUAAGCGAUCUGUCAAAGCUGUGGGAUGUAAAAAUACAUCGGUAGGGGAGCGUUCCACCUCAAAUGGAAGCAUCAGCGCGAGCAAGUGUGGAUGAAGCGGAAGAGAGAAUGUCGGCUUGAGUAAUGAAAACAUUGGUGAGAAUCCAAUGCCCUGAAAACCUAAGGGUUCCUCAGCAAGAUUCGUCCACAGAGGGUGAUUUGGGGCCUAAGAUCAUGCUGAAAGGUGUAGACGAUGGAAAACGGGUUAAUAUUCUUGUACUACCCCUUGUUGGUCCUGAGGGACGGAGGAGGCUAGCUUAGCUGAAAGAUGGUUAUCGGUUCAAGGACGCAAGGUGACCCUGAUUUUUUCAGGGUAAGAAGGGGUAGAUAAAAUUUCCUCUAGCCAAUAUCUAAGUACCAAGCGCUACAACAUUGAACUAACCCAUGCCAUACUCCCAGGAAAUGACCUUUAACAAAAGAGUACCUGUACUCGAAACUAACACAGGUAGGUAGGUAGAGAAUACCUAGGGGCACGAGACAACUCUCUCUAAGGAACUCGACAAAAUAUCCUCGUAACUUUGAGAGAAGGGGUGCCUCCUUAGGAGGUCGCAGUGACCAGGCCCAGGCGACUAUUUACCAAAAACACAGGUCUCCGCAAAGUUGUAAGACCAUGUAUGGGGGCUAACGCCUACCCAGUGACAGAAUGUUAAGGAAGUUGGUGACCUGAUGACUAUAACUAUAAUGGCGGUUGUAACUAUAACAGUCCUAAGGUAGCGAAAUUCCUUGUCGGGUAAGUUAUGACCCGCACGAAAGGCGUAAUGAUCCGAGCAUUGUCUCGAAGAGAAACUCGGUGAAAUAGGCAUGUCUGUGAAGAUGUGGACUACCUGCACCUGGACAGAAAGACCCUAUGAAGCUUUGUUGUUCCCUGGGAUUUUAUUUGGGUUCUUCUUGCACAACUUAGGUGGAAGGAGAAGAAGGCUCCCUCUCGGGGGGGGUUGAGCCACCAGUGAGAUACCACUCUGGAAGAGCUAGAAUUCUAACUUUGUGUCGGGACCUAGGAUCCAAGGGAUAGUCUCAGAUAAAUAGUUUCUAUGGGGUGUAGACCUCCCAAAAGUUAACGGAGGCGUGCAAAGGUUUCCUCGGGCCAGAAGGAAAUCGUCCCUUGAGUGCAAAGGCAAAAGGGAGCUUGAAUGCAAGACCCACACGUUGAGAAAGGAUGAAAUUCAACCUUAGUGAUCCGAUGGUGCCGAGUGGAAGGGUUUUCUCUCAAAAAAUAAAAGUAACUCUAUGGAUAACAGUCUGAUCUUCCACAAUAGUUCACAUCGAUGGGAAGGUUUUGCACCUCAAUGUCGGCUCUUUGCCACUUGGGGCAAUAGUACGUUCCAAGGGUUGGGAUGUUCGCCCAAUAAAGCGGUAUGUGAUCUGGGUUCAAAAUGUUGUGAGACAGUUGGGUCCAUAUCUGGUGCGGGCGUUAGAGAAUUGAGAGGACCUUUCCCUAGUAUGAGAGGACCGGGAAGGACGCACCUCUGGUGUACCAAAUAUCGUGCCCACGUUAGACAUUGGGUAGCCAAGUGCAGAGUGGAUAACUACUGAAAGCAUAUAAGUAGGAAGCCCACCCCAAGAUGAGUGCUCUCUUAUUCUUACUUCCCUGGGAUCCCUAGUCGUGAACACGGCUAGGACAACGAUGGGUUCUCUGUCCUUGCAGGGGAUGGAGAAACAAAAGUAUUGAGAAUCCAAGAUAAGGUCAUGGAGAGACAAGUCAUUUAUCAUUACGAUAAGUGUCAAUUAGAAGUGCAGUGAUGUAUGCAACUGAGGCCUCCUAACAGACUGAGAGAUUUGAACCU